CACGUACUGGGGGGAUGGAAGAGAAUUGUCAAAUAGGAAAGUGACCAUUGAAGACCAGGAGCUGAAUGGAGACAGUGGAUGGGGUCAAAGAUGAGUUGACUCUAUGAAGAUUGCCAGGAUUUGUUGGAUCCUCCAGGCUUAGAAGCCUCACAGGCACCAUCAACAACUGCUUUUCCUUCCUCUUCAUCCCAAACCAUAUCCGUCACCAAGUCCUCUCGAUUUGGAGUAAUUGAUCAAAGAGAGUGCUUUUCAUCAUCUUUGCCCUUUUGAAGACUCCACAUCACAAUGAAUACCAGAUUGACAUCCAGAAUCUUCAGCCAGUGGUUCCAGACUAACCGGUGGUUACAAACUCCUACCUCCCACUACUGUGAUGGGUCACACGUUUAAAACGGGAAGGGGAAUCCAAGCAGGGAGGAGGAGAUUUCCAAACCAAAGGAGAAGUC
rnacentral:lncRNA from 1 species